AACGAACGCUGGCGGCAUGCCUAACACAUGCAAGUCGAACGAGACCUUCGGGUCUAGUGGCGCACGGGUGCGUAACGCGUGGGAAUCUGCCCUUGGGUUCGGAAUAACAGUUAGAAAUGACUGCUAAUACCGGAUGAUGUCUUCGGACCAAAGAUUUAUCGCCCAGGGAUGAGCCCGCGUAGGAUUAGCUUGUUGGUGGGGUAAAGGCCUACCAAGGCGACGAUCCUUAGCUGGUCUGAGAGGAUGAUCAGCCACACUGGGACUGAGACACGGCCCAGACUCCUACGGGAGGCAGCAGUGGGGAAUAUUGGACAAUGGGCGAAAGCCUGAUCCAGCAAUGCCGCGUGAGUGAUGAAGGCCUUAGGGUUGUAAAGCUCUUUUACCCGGGAUGAUAAUGACAGUACCGGGAGAAUAAGCCCCGGCUAACUCCGUG
rnacentral:rRNA from 1 species